CUGUAUUGCCCAGAAGCCAUCGUGUCGCUGGUCGGGGUCCUGCGGAGGCUGGCUGCCUGCCAGGAGCACAAGCGGGCUCCUGAGGUCUACGUGGCCUUUACCGUCCGCAACCCAGAGACGUGCCAGCUGUUCACCACCGAGCUAGGCUGGGCCGGGAUCAGAUGGGAAGCAGAAGCUCAUCAUGACCAGAAACUGUUUCCCUACGGAGAGCACUUGGAGAUGGCAAUGCUGAACCUCACACUGUAGGACUCACACACGACUCUAACGGGAUUGUAAGAAUCAAGUCACUCUCAUGGGAAGAAUUUUUAUAUGGGAAAGCGGCUAAAACUUUCAUUGGACUGGAAUGUUUGGAGAUUGUUAAAUUCCAAAUCAGGAACCACAAACUGCCCUCUAAUAAGAUAUCAGCUGUCUAAGCGUGUGGGUGCCGCCUUUCUGCCAGUAGUUCUGGUUCUUAAGAAAAGCACCAUAAAUCAGACAUGAAAAUUCUGGCUCCAAAAAUAGCAUUUUCUUUGUGCAAAUAAAAACGUGUGUAUCAAGUAUGACGUUCCCCCAACGUGGACACACUUGGUUCCUCAGAAAGCCAAGCCCGCUGCAGCUGCCACAUCCCAGGGCUUAUGGUGCAGCAGGUGCUUUUUUCAAGACAGGAAUCAAAGUGUUAGGAACACGGCAGACAGGUGACACCUGGAUACCAAAUGCAGGAUGAGGAGUACUGCAGAGGUCACAGGGAAGUCACAGAACAGUAAUACGCUAGCAGGGGCAUGGGGCGUGAAGAACAGAAGAAGACAGGAAGCGUUUCAGAGACUCCAAAGAAGAAAUCAGGGCCCACCACAGCUUCCCGGGUCAUUCACCAGGUGGCACCACUGCCGUCAUUUCAGCUUCUGGCCACUGGGAGGCGCUGCUCGAAAGGGUUUGCCCUGAGACUCCAAGAAGAAGCUGCGGGAAGGACAGCAGGGGCCCUGGGGUUUUAGCCUCUGGCCCAGGAGUUAUGUGUCCAUAACCAAAGGGAGCAUAGUCUGCACCCAGCUCUCAUCCCAUCAGAGCUGCUGCGACUCCCGCAGGUUCUUCUGGAACUGGUUUAGCUUGCCUGCAGGAUCAGGAGAGUUUGAGAAAAGCAUCUGCAAAAUGCUAAAGAGCAGAGCUUACCUCAUUGCCUGUCCCCAUCUCAUCCCAGGUCACCACCUGGCUGACCCCAGGUCCCCGACCCAACAACAACCCCUCCCAAGUCCCUAACUCCCUCACUUGGACUUGAGACCCUUCACAACCCAGCAGCGCUCCGCCUCCAACGUGACAUCAUGCUUUCUGGAAACUUCCCCGUAUGUCCCACUUUCCCACACUUGGUGCCCUGGAGCACCUUCCGGCCUCUACAUGCUGUACGUUCCCCUGUGAGCACCCUCCUCUCGGCCUCUGGCCAACACAGUCCCAC
rnacentral:lncRNA from 1 species